GGUCGCUUAGCUCAGUUGGUUAGAGCGUGGUGCUAAUAAUCCAUCGCCAGAGACUUUGCUCCUGGAGAAGGCCUUCAGUUAACGCCAAGGUCGCGAGUUCGACCCUCGUAGUGACCA
rfam:Bipolaris zeicola 26-R-13 unplaced genomic scaffold scaffold_111, whole genome shotgun sequence.